rnacentral:rRNA from 1 species
AUUGAACGCUGGCGGCAGGCUUAACACAUGCAAGUCGAGCGGGGUGCUGGUGCUUGCACUAUCACUUAGCGGCGGACGGGUGCGUAAUGCUUAGGAAUCUGCCUAUUAGUUGGGGACAACAUCUCGAAAGGGAUGCUAAUACCGCAUACGUCCUACGGGAGAAAGCAGGGGAUCACUUGUGACCUUGCGCUAAUAGAUGAGCCUAGGUCGGAUUAGCUAGUUGGUGGGGUAAAGGCCUACCAAGGCGACGAUCUGUAGCGGGUCUGAGAGGAUGAUCCGCCACACUGGGACUGAGACCCGGACCAGACUCCUACGGGAGGCAGCAGUGGGGAAUAUUGGACAAUGGGGGGAACCCUGAUCCAGCCAUGCCGCGUGUGUGAAGAAGGCCUUAUGGUUGUAAAGCACUUUAAGCGAGGAGGAGGCUCUUUUGGUUAAUACCCAAGAUGAGUGGACGUUACUCGCAGAAUAAGCACCGGCUAACUCUGUGCCAGCCGCCGCCGUAA